rnacentral:lncRNA from 1 species
GAGCGAUUCAGGACCAUCAUGGUCCUCUUGUUUUAAAGAACCUGUUGGCAUGAUGCACCUGCUUUUCGUGGAAUUUCCACAUUUCUUGUUUCUUGCAUUAUUUAGUGAGAAAGUGUGUAAUAUGGAUGGCCCUUUGAGAUUUUGCCUUCAGAGCCAGUACAGCACUAGGGUCCAUGUUUACUGGUUUGGUGUGUCCAGGUUUGGAUUGGCAGUUAAAUGUUUUUCUGUAAGCAUCAGAUGAUAAUGUGUCUUACCUGCCACAUCAAGUAAUGCAAUGAACAAAUUUUCUUUUUAAUCCAAAUCAAUUUCCUCACAAUUUGAAUUAUCAUUUUUAUCUGAAAUAAUUUGCUUAGUUUCUGGCAUUUUUUUUCGAGUGCUUUUAAAAGUGUGUCUACCUGCCUUGUGCCUGGCAUUGAAAAAUAGGGAUCAGGAAGUAAUGCUGUAUAAUGUAUGUAUGUAAGCCAACAUGGCUGGCCCUUUAAGUAGGGAAGACUAUAAUAAACAAACACUACUUUUAUAAAAACAGAAAAGCACCAAGGGUCUGUUAUGGUGUAUUUGUUUUCAUACAUACUGCUUUCUUGGGGAUUUUACAGAGGUAAGUGUUCUUCAUAGCUGGUCAUAGUUCUUGAAUAGUUGUGCUGGAUAGUCAUAAUGGCUUUGACUCUGUUACUUUGUUACUCGCUCUAUUUACGAAUAGAAGCAAAAAAAAAAAAAUUAUUGGAGAAUGUAAUCCAUUUAUUGCUGUCAAUUUUUGUGAUAAGUUAUUUUCCAGGUAUUACUGUAAUGUAUGUUCAGAAAUUUAAAUAUUGUAUUACCAAAAUGCUAAAACAACUUCUGAGUUGGUGAAGUUUUAAUAUAUUACAGUAAUUACAAUGCUUGUAAAAUGGGGGUAUUAUAUUCAUACCCAUAUAUUUGUAUUGUUGGCAGAAUAAGUGUAUGUUUGGUAGUAUUAUGUACUGCACAAUAAAAUGUUCUCAAAAGAAGAUAGGGCUUCCACUACCAGUAAUGUGUCAUAUUUUCAGCCAAAUUUUAUCUGUUUUUCAUACUUUUCAUAUUUUUUUCUCAGUGAACUGUUACAUCAUCCUUUAUGGAUAUCUGUCAUUAUAAGGGCAUGGUUGACCAUUGAUACAUGAAUUUACCAGUUUAACAUACUAGUGCUAUGCAAGAAAUAAAACCAAGGAUUCUGA